UUCAUGAUGAUUCAAAUUCAUAAUUGUUUUAAUAACUAUUUUGUCAUUACUGUCUGACGAUGAUGUGUACUAGGUGUCAUGCAAAACGGAUGAAAGGUCUACAAGAACUUCAAAAAAAAAUUUCAUAAAUUGUCAGAUAUCAAAGAUUUAUUUGGCACCUGAAUAUCUGUGCACAUUUAGUAUUCAACCCCAAAGUUCAUUGCUCCCUGUGUGGAAAAGAGUCUCCUGUUGGAGGUGUGGGUCUGAACACAUGGGUUUGUGUCCUUUUCAAUGAGAAAUUUCUAAUUAGAUUAGCUAUUACACA
rnacentral:lncRNA from 1 species